rnacentral:rRNA from 1 species
CCCUUAGAUGUUCUGGGCCGCACGCGCGCUACACUGACGAAUGCAACGAGCUUAUAACCUUGGCCGAAAGGUCUGGGUAAUCUCCAAAUUUCGUCGUGAUGGGGAUAGAUUAUUGCAAUUAUUAAUCUUCAACGAGGAAUGCCUAGUAAGCGCAAGUCAUCAGCUUGCGUUGAUUACGUCCCUGCCCUUUGUACACACCGCCCGUCGCUCCUACCUAUUGAAUGGUCCGGUGAAGCGUUCGGACCGUGGCCUUUGGACGGUUCGCCGUCUGUUGGCUGCGGGAAGUUCGUUAAACCUUAUCAUUUAGAGGAAGGAGAAGUCGUAACA